UGAGGAAUCUUCCACAAUGGGCGAAAGCCUGAUGGAGCAACGCCGCGUGCAGGAUGAAGGCCUUCGGGUCGUAAACUGCUUUUAUAAGUGAAGAAUAUGACGGUAACUUAUGAAUAAGCACCGGCUAACUACGUGCCAGCAGCCGCGGUCAUACGUAGGGUGCAAGCAUUAUCCGGAGUGACUGGGCGUAAAGAGUUGCGUAGGUGGUUUGUUAAGUGAAUAGUGAAAUCUGACGGCUCAACCGUAUAGACUAUUAUUCAAACUGGCAAACUCGAGAAUGGUAGAGGUAACUGGAAUUUCUUGUGUAGGAGUGAAAUCCGUAGAUAUAAGAAGGAACACCAAUGGCGUAGGCAGGUUACUGGACCAUUUCUGACACUGAGGCACGAAAGCGUGGGGAGCGAACCGG
rnacentral:rRNA from 2 species